rfam:Salmo salar isolate Sally breed double haploid chromosome ssa14, whole genome shotgun sequence.
UGUAUGCAUGACUGUUAGUCUCUUUGGAUAAAAGCGUCUGCUAAAUGGUAUAUA